ensembl:snRNA U7 U7 small nuclear RNA
AAGUGUUAAAGCUCUUUUAGAAUUUGUCUAGUAGGUUUUCUGGUUCUUACUGGAAGACCCCC